rnacentral:rRNA from 1 species
CGCCAGACUCCUACGGGAGGCAGCAGUGAGGAAUAUUGGUCAAUGGCCGGAAGGCUGAACCAGCCAUGCCGCGUGAAGGUCAGUGCCCUAUGGGCGUUAAACUUCUUUUGUGCGGGAGCAAUAAUGGUCACGUGUGGCCAGACGAGAGUACCGUACGAAUAAGCAUCGGCUAACUCCGUGCCAGCAGCCGCGGUAAUACGGGGGAUGCAAGCGUUAUCCGGAUUUAUUGGGUUUAAAGGGUGCGUAGGCUGUGAGGUAAGUCAGCGGUGAAAUGCCCCCGCUCAACGGGGUGAAGUGCCAUUGAUACUGCCUUGCUGGAAUGCGGAUGCCGUGGGAGGAAUGUGUGGUGUAGCGGUGAAAUGCAUAGAUAUCAUGAAGAACUCCGAUCGCGAAGGCAAGUGUCCGGGGUGCAACUGACGCUGAGGCUCGAAAGUGCGGGUAUCAAACAGGAUUAGAUACCCGGGUACA